AAGUCGUAACAAGGUUUCCGUAGGUGAACCUGCGGAAGGAUCAUUAUCGAUUCUCCUUUGAAGGAGGUUUGGGCUGUGCUGGCCUUUCCGAAGGCAUGUGCACGUCCUCACAUCCGUACCCAUACACCUGUGCACCUGUUGUAGGUCUCGCAAGGGAUCUAUGUUAUCUUUGAUAAACACCUUGAUGUAUGUCCUUAGAAUGUCCUUAUGAUUGUCUUUGCUGCUCGAUUUAUUUUGAGUGGUGGAGAUGAAAUAUAUUAUAACUUUCAGCAAUGGAUCUCUUGGUUCUC
rnacentral:misc_RNA from 1 species